AGUGGCUCUAAGAAUAGAUGGGGAAUAUAGAUUAGAGAAGGAAGAAUAAUACACUGAGAGGGCCCAGGUUUUGUUGUCUCUUCUGAACAGCUAGGGCAUUAUUCCCAGAUCUCGACAAUGCCUGUCUAUAUGACUCGUCAAGUGAGGAAAAAAAUAAUCAAGUGUCCAUCUAACAUUUGUGCUAUCAAAGUUGUGACAUUGUGCCCAGGGAUGGCGAUGAUACAAAGAGUAUUUUGCUUACAGUUUAACAUCAUCUAAAACCAUCCAGGUGAUUCAACAAUAGACCUAUCAUACAGGCAUUACAUGAUAACCCAGGUACCUCGGCAACUUGGAACAAAGUCAACCAACAAUCCUUUCCAUCAUUUUUUAUUAAUAUAAUCAGAUCGUAUAUUGUACUGUAUUUAAUCCAUUAAUGUUUGAUUAUGCUUUAAACCAUAGGCAAUGAACAUUCUUUUUUACAUACUAAUCAACAACACAGAAUAUUUUCAAGAUAUAAUGUAAUUUGAAAAAUCUAUGCUGAAAUCAAAAAAAUAAUCAAGUGUCCAUCUAACAUUUGUGCUAUCAAAUUUGUGACAUUGUGCCUAUGGAUGGCCACGAUACAAAGAGUAUUUUGCUUACAAUUUAACAUCAUCUGAAACCAUCCAGGUGAUUCAACAAUAGACCUAUCAUAUAGCCUAGGCAUUACAUGAUAACCCAGGGACCCAGGCAACUUGGAACAAAGUCAAUCAACAAGCCUUUCUAUCAUUUUUUUUUAAUAUAAUCAGGUAGCGUAUUUAAUCCACUAAUGUUUGAUUAUGCUUUAAACCAUAGGCAAUGAACAUUCUUUUUUACAUCCUAAUCAACAACACAGAAUACUUUCAAGAUAUAAUGUAAUUUGAAAAAUCUAUGCUGAAGUCAAAUAAAACAUAACAGAAAUGAUAACAUAUAUCCUUACUGUUUUAGGUGAAAUGGUAAACAAUACUUGGCUUGUUAGGUUAUCCAACUUGCUAGAGGUUUGGGUCUAUAAUUUUUCAACAAAACUAUUGGGAGAGACACAGAGUGAGAUACAUUAAAUUGCAGCACAAAGAAAAAUGAGAUUGUGCAGUGACAAACACACAGUUGUACAUACAUUGGUACAUCAGAGAGUAUAUGUCAUCUUAUAUGAUCUACAGCAUCCAAGAUGCCUACAAACCAAUAAUCAAAUGAUUCGAAGAAAUCCUACUCGGACACAAACAUCACAGAGACUACCAGUAAAAUUUGGCUGCCUAGAUGCCACCCACCUGCAGGUCAGCACUCAAAAAUAAGAGGCAACAUGGAAAAAGAAAAGC
rnacentral:lncRNA from 1 species